GACGAACGCUGGCGGCGUGCUUAACACAUGCAAGUCGAACGGAAAGGCCCUGCUUUUGUGGGGUGCUCGAGUGGCGAACGGGUGAGUAACACGUGAGUAACCUGCCCUUGACUUUGGGAUAACUUCAGGAAACUGGGGCUAAUACCGGAUAGGAGCUCCUGCUGCAUGGUGGGGGUUGGAAAGUUUCGGCGGUUGGGGAUGGACUCGCGGCUUAUCAGCUUGUUGGUGGGGUAGUGGCUUACCAAGGCUUUGACGGGUAGCCGGCCUGAGAGGGUGACCGGCCACAUUGGGACUGAGAUACGGCCCAGACUCCUACGGGAGGCAGCAGUGGGGAAUAUUGCACAAUGGGCGGAAGCCUGAUGCAGCAACGCCGCGUGCGGGAUGACGGCCUUCGGGUUGUAAACCGCUUUCGCCUGUGACGAAGCGUGGGUGACGGUAACGGGUAAAGAAGCACCGGCUAACUACGUG
rnacentral:rRNA from 1 species